ACUGCAAGCGCUCAUUUCCAUCAAACCGACUGCUGGAGAUGCACACCUUGGAGUGGCAUGACUCCCUCUUCAAGAUCAUGGUGGAGAAACAAUGCAUGCGAAAUGCUGCCACCUACUGGUUUCAACGGAAAGUUGCGUUAAAUGCAGUGUGUGUUUUGUAGCAGCUUGAAACAUUGAAACACUGAUUUUAAUGGCACAGAAAUAAAGAAUAUUAUGAGUGCUUGGUGAAAGGAUGUUGACUGAAAUUCAAAACAAGCAAAGAGAGGAAAUAUCAUCUCAUCAGAACACAUGGCUAUCCAGCAGAUUUAAGAUUUGACAAAGCAAAAAUGAGCGGAAGGCUUGAUAUUAAUACUAAUGUAAAUUGUUUUUCAUUUUUUGAUUAUAGAAAUUCUUCCUUUUCUUUCAUAU
ensembl:lncRNA